rnacentral:lncRNA from 1 species
GGUCUUGAUGGCAACUAGUUGAGGACUUCAUUCAAUGGAAUUCGAGAUGGUUUGGUGAGUGAGUUGUGGAGUCCUAAUUCAUGUGUGUGGGAUAGAGAUCAGGUGGUUGAGCUUUAUGGCGACGAGCUAAGUGAUCUUAUCUAUACCUUAUUGAGUGUUCAGCAUGGUCCACCGGAUCGAAUUGUUUGGUUUCACAACAAGUCCGGGUGCUAUACAUGAAAAUCUAACUAUUCUUGGCUCAUUCUCAAAAAGAUGGGUUAUAGGCCGCAUCGUUUAUUUUGGAG